rnacentral:rRNA from 1 species
GAUGAACGCUAGCUACAGGCUUAACACAUGCAAGUCGAGGGACCGGCGCACGGGUGAGUAACACGUAUCCAACCUGCCCGUUACUCGGGGAAAGCCUUUCGAAAGAAAGAUUAAUACCCGAUAUAAAGGCUGGGGAUGCGUUCAAGUAGGUUGUUGGUGAGGUAACUACCAACCAAGCCUUCGAUGGAUAGGCGUUCUGAGAGGAAGGUCCCACACAUUGGAAGACACGCCCGGACCACACUCGUACGGGAGGAAGAAGUGAGGAAUAUUGAUCAAUGGGCGGUAGCCUGAGCCAGCCAACGAGCGUGAAGGAUGAAGGCUUAUGGAUCGUUAACUUCUUUUAUAUAAGAAUAUGUAUUAUAUGAAUAAGGAGCGGCUAACCCAGUGCCAGCCGCCGCGGUAAUAC